ensembl:lncRNA
AUUAAACCAAUGACCAUCAGCUUUCUGUCAUUUGCUACUAAGAACUUGGUUUGGAUGCACCUGGGUCAGUUCAGCUCCUAGAACGCUCUCCCAGAUAAACGGCAGGCUGGGGAGCUGUAGGCCUUGCUUGUAGGAUUGCUAUAUCAAUUCUCCAACCUGAGACUGUGAGGUCUCCUCAGCUCAGAGUAACCAGAUACAAGUUGGCUCCCCGUCUGUGUUCAGCUUGGUACCUUGGAAGUCCAAGUGAAGGCUGACCAUUUAGACACAGCAGCCGUCUCACCCCCCACACAGCAGUAACUUAACACAUCUUUGAUGAACCGGCUGGCCUCUGUCUCAUCCAUGGGCUGAUGGAAGUGCUGAGGGCAGCAGUAGGCAAGGGAUGUUUGGCUACAGGGACCUGGGGAAAAAAGCUUCUCCCGUAGCCAUCUCCAUCAGCCCACAGCAGAGGGAGAGAAGGAGAUCUUUCCCAAGCCAGUCACCUCUCCACGCUCCCCAAAAUGCAGGUUGUAUAUGUCUGUAUGGCACAAGGCACCCCCUCCGUGCUGUGGGGCACAGGUGGGUGCUGCCAUCUCAGCAGAGCAGCAGGGGCUGGGACUUCCCAGCUUACCCCUGUGAGGCUUACAGUUUGUACAUGCUCAGACAGAUGGGGCUGCCUGGUUGCGCAGCAGUGCCAUACAGGAUGCAGCAGCAACCCUGCUGAGCAGCGUAUUUUUUCCUCUGCGCCUUGCAAAUCGCAGCCAGCAGUGGGGACAAACAGGCUUUUUUUUCCCUCCUGUGUUCAGGAAAUCUCUCUGCCAUAGGUCUUCUUUCUUCACCAGCCGAGCGUGCUCUGGGAUACUUGAUGGUCCCUGAAAAUGGCAGUGGCAACGGAGGCUGCCGCCUCCUGCACACCUCAUGCGUGUGGCUGCACCUGUGUGUGUCACAGUGUCCCAGCAGCUGUGAGCUUAUGGGUAGCACCAGGAGACACAGGAUUCUCAGAAACAGCACUGGAAGUCCCGCUCUUGAGCACAGUCCCAUUGUUUUUUAAGGGUCUAGAGAGGGUUGUGUGUGCAUAUACACGCAAUGUGCAUUAAAUACACACGCAGCGUAACACCAGCCAGGAUGGUUGUUUUCCUUUCAGGAUGGUGACCCUGUCUGAGGGAAGCUGAUGAAGCCCUACAGGAGGGAGAUCUGAGUCAUGAGAGCCUUCUCAUGGAAAUUUACUUCCUGGCCUCCUUUCUGCUGCACACUGAGAACAGAAGAUGAACUAGGACGUGGUAGAGGGAAGCUGCAAUGGUCCCAGAGAGAAGCAGAGGAUUGCUGGCUUAGAAGAAAGCUUGCUUCCCAGGUUUGAGUGUUAGCUGAACCACACAGAGGACUGGCUGUGACCAGACAAAAUGGCCUUGCUGAAUUAAGCCAGACAGAAGAAACAAACCCCCUAAAAAAUCAUGUCCCAACAGGUAAAAGGGUAAGAGCUUGGGAUCAUUGGUAAGGAAACAAGAGCUCCAGGAUAACGUAAUCAGGAACAUCCUUCAACCAAUUACAGCACAUGCACUUUAUCUGCAGAUCUUACCCUUGGUGUUAUUCAGCUCAUAUGCUCUCAAUUCACUACAAAAGAGCAAAAAAUGAGCCAUCGGGAUGAUGUGAGAACCCACUCUUUCUGUCCUCAACCCUGGCUGACAGCACAGCUAAUGAUUUAUUUUCAUUUCUAUGUAUUUUAUGUCAAUCUGAUAGAUGUUCCCAGCAAUGUCAGUGGCAAAACAUCAGACAGUAGCAGAGUGCAGAGCUGAGGGUCCCCUCUCAGCAGCAGCCCUAGGGUGGUUGCUGCUGGAAGGGAGGUGCCGAGAACCUGGCCAGAUAUUCAAGCUUUCAUUUGUUUUGCUGCCCCACUUAAUCCUCACAGCGUCCGAAGCCAGAAACGCUUCACUUAGAUUAAUGAGCCAAACUAAAACAAACCCGCAGGCUUCAAGCACGUGAGCUCCUGUUUAACACUGUGAGACCCGCUACUAACAGCAGCUUGGCUGCAGUACAGCUCACUAAGAAAGCUCUUUUUUUCCCCUUUUGGGCUUUUCUCCAGAGAUGAGGGGCUGGUGAGAGGAUCUGAGGACUGAACCCAUUGGGGUUUGUGCUGCUGCUGCCAACUAAAUCCCCAGUGCCAGCUGAGGUGGGCUGCUAGAUCAUAGAAUCAUUAAGGUUGGAAGGACUACUAAGUUCAUCUAGUCCAACCAUCAGCCCAUUCCUGUGACUGCACUAGCGUGCGUCCCUCACUGCCACAUCUGCCCUGUUCUGGAGCACCUCCAGGGAUGGUAACUCCACCACCUCACUGGGCAGCCUAUUCUGUUACCUCAACACUCUUUGUGAGAAGAAAUCUUUUCCUAAUGUCCAACCUGAACCUUCCCUGGUGCAACUUAAGGCCAUUAGAUGCCUACCGUGCAGCCACUCUGAGCAGCUGCUGGAGGAACUCUGGGCAAAAAGUCAUCAAUUCAGACUUAACACUAAGCAAAAAUAUCUCAUUGGUCUCAUGUUGGAGUAGCUCCCACUUUUUUUCUCAUGUUGGUAAAAGAACUUCACUGCUUUAUGCUUAUGGUGUAUGAAGAGGUCCAAAUCUCUCCUUCCUUUGUUUCUCAGAGAUCCUGCCCAGAUACUUUAGGAAAUCCCAGACAAAUUAAGCAAAAAGCUGAGCUGCAAAUGAAAGAAAAAGGGAUGUGAGCAAAGGCAGCAAGUAAACAACAAAAAAAAACCAACAACCCAACACAGUUUUUUAAAGGAGGCUAAAAAAAAUUCAUGUCAAGGAAGAAAGGGGGAAAAGGGAAGGAAGGAAAGGAGCUUCCCUCCUGCCAAGUGCACACAGCAACCUCCACUCUCUCAGAAGCGUUAUUUCUAGCCAAAGCCAAAUGAAAGGCUCCUGGCUGAACUGAAAUGAAAACAUCCAUUUUUGAGAUUGGCUCUGCACAUUGCCAGCACAGAGGUGAUGAGAGGCUACCAGCAGCUCCGGGCAAGCGAGGAAGAUGGGAAGCAGGAAAGGAAGCUUGAAAAGUUUGAAAAUAACUAUCAGCUAAUUUUGACUACAAAAAGGAUCAUCCUAGUUUAGAAUGAUUGCUGCGAUGCUGUAGAAGGCAUUUUUCCUGUUAUUCCUAUUUGAAAGUGCAGAUAAAGGGAGUGCAACUCCUUCCCUCUGCAAAUAAGUCACUACGCAUGGCAAAGUACUGCCAGGCACUCUAUUGCCGAAAUGCAUUGCUGAAAGCUGGGCAGCUGCCUCCAAGCAAGCGGAGAGCAGCUGCUGUCACCUCGGGUGUCUCUUCCACAAUUGCAAUGGGAAUCCCUAUGGGCAAUCUCCAUGGGCAAUCUCCAAGUUUUGGAUCCAGGAAUGGGAAUCCCCAGGCCUCUUAGGAAGACCAAGUAGUAGAAAUUCCUCCUAAAUCCCAUGUGCUUUCUCUUCCCUGGGAAUUCUCUGCUCGUAGGCGUCCCCCACAGCACGAGGGAGCUCCACGAGGCUCCCUCCAGCUUGCGCAGUGAAGGAAGCUGGAUGGAAUUUCCCCUGUCAUGCUGACACCCAGGCACCACGCUGUGUGCUACAACUUGGCACGUGUGACUCGUCCUCUCUUUGCAG